AUCCAGCUGAUGUGUCCCAGAUGGGACAAAACGUGCAUCCUGGAU
rnacentral:hammerhead_ribozyme from 1 species